rnacentral:rRNA from 1 species
UACGUAGGUGGCAAGCGUUGUCCGGAAUUAUUGGGCGUAAAGCGCGCGCAGGCGGCUAUCCAAGUCAGUGGUGAAAGCCCGGAGCUCAACUCCGGAACUGCCAUUGAAAACUGUUUAGCUUGAGGAUGAGAGAGGUGAGUGGAAUUCCCAGUGUAGAGGUGAAAUUCGUAGAUAUGGGGAGGAACACCGGUGGCGAAGGCGGCCACCUGGACGGUCACUGACGCUGAGACGCGAAAGCGUGGGGAGCAAACAGG